rnacentral:piRNA from 1 species
CACCGGCAAGGAGAGACACCAAUAAG